GGCCAAUUUUCGCCGUGGACCUUGUAGUUUGGUGGGGAAAAUGUUUGGUUAGAAAAUGGGAGAAGUUCGGGAGUAUUUAGAAUUUCUCAAAAGUCCACAUUUAGUGGUGAAAGUGCAAGAAUUCUUUGGGAUAGUGUACAAAGAUGAGGCUACAACCGCAACAGCCACCAAUGGCAUAGUAAAAAGUCCCAAAAAACGACAAAAAGCCAACAAAUCUCCCUCCAAGGAAGUCCCCCAGAAACUGCCAAAGCAGCAGGAGGAUGAUGAGAACAGUCCGGCAGAGGAGGAACUGAGAUGUCGAAUAACCAAUAAAUUCUGGUAUUGGCUAUUUGUGGUGGGCACAGAGCUGGGAGAUGAGAUUUUCUAUGCAUCCUUCAUCCCAUUCUGGUUCUGGAAUAUUGACGGAGCCGUUGGGCGGCGGAUGGUGAUGGUAUGGGCACUGGUGAUGUAUGUUGGUCAGGGACUGAAGGAUAUAAUUAGAUGUCCACGCCCUGGGCAUCCAGUGCAGAGAUUGCAGAAGAAAUGGGCUCUGGAAUAUGGACUGCCCUCAACGCAUGCCAUGGUGUCCGUAGCUAUACCCUUCUCCGUGCUCAUCUACACACUGGACAGGUACCAGUAUUCAGCCUCCGUGGGACUCUGCAUCUCAAUCCUGUGGAGCACAGUCAUCUGCCUCAGUCGCAUCUACCUGGGAAUGCACAGUGUGCUGGACAUCGGAGCUGGAUUGUUCCUUACUGGCAUUCUCAUGCUCCCUCUGAUUCCUCUCGUGGACUGGGCAGACUACUACAUCCUCUCGCACAAAUUCUCCCCUGUUCUACUCACCAUCGUGUCCAUCCUCCUGAUUGCCAUCUACCCAAGAGCCGAUCGCUGGACGCCCACGCGCGGAGACACAACCCUGUGUCUGGCCGUCUGCGUUGGCAUUCACAUUGGUGCUUGGAUCAACUACCAGGCCGGUGACAUGAAGGUGCCCACCACGGAGCCCCCUUAUCCCGUCAUCUGGCCCUCGCAUCGAUUGCUGGGCCAGAUUCUGCUGCGCACAGUUCUGGGUCUGUGUGCCAUCGUAGCCACCAGAGCCAUCGCCAAAUCCGUGUCAUAUGCCUUCAUCUGUGCCGUCCUGGGCAAAUCUCAGGAUCAGAUACGUCGUUCUGAGGAUACUCUCCAGAAUCGACCAAAGAUCCUUGUAGAUCUCUUCUACAAGUACUUCACGUACUUCUGGAUAGGCUUCAAUACGCAAUAUCUCCUGCCCAAUUUCUUCAAGCUUCUGGGUAUUGGACGUCCGGACUUCUACACUGAGAUUUAAGCGGAAACAUGGGACAAAGUGGCUAAAGAUCAUUCCAAAAAGAAAAAGAUUGACAUGUCCGGGGAAAAGUCAAGUGCACAAAUUAUUCUUCCAGGGAGAGGAAAGAAAAAAAAAAACCAAGAAGUAUCGGAAUUUUAUGAUUCCAUCCAAAUAACAAAAAAAAAACAAAAGAAAAAAUCAAAAUAAACAUCACUGAAUUUAGUUUAACGAUUUUGAAGCGUUUCUAAGUCAUUUGAAAAUACUGCAAAUUGAGAGUGAAAAGCCAUCACUCUAAAUUUUCUCAUCACAAAUCUCUCUUUGAAAAUCUUAGGAUUUAAAAAAAAAGGAAAAUGAAUCAAAACUAAAAGCAAUAGAAUUGCAUUACACUUUAUUGCCUUAAUCAGUGUAUCUUUUCUUCAAACUUCCAUCAUUAGAAUUACUUGUUCCUUUAUUAUUAUUUCUUUUAACAAAAAAAAGUAAAAUAGUUUGUCUAUUUCUCCAUUUUCUCUCUCGCAUCAAUAUUUUAAUAUUUACUUAUUAAAUAUAUUGUUAAGUAUUACAAUAUGAGGCACUUCUUUUGUAACAUAUUAUUAUUAAAUUAAAUGUUGAAUUUUUGUCCUUGGCGGCAAAAUUUAGAGGACAAAAUCUAAGUAGCUUUAUUUUUCCGAGUCUCUGAAUCAAAACAAAGAAACUUCACUUGCGAAUUUUUAUUGUUUUUUUCUUUCUAAACAAUAAUGGUGUACGCACAAUUAUUUCCAUUUUGUUAACAAUUUUUUUUUGCCAAUUUAGCAAGCUCAAAGAGCGAUCUAGCAAUCCCUCUUCAUAGUAUACUAAAUUUCUAAAACCUUCAAAUACAUUAAAGAUAAAAAAACCAAGAAAAAUAAUUGUGCGUACCCCAUAAGAAAACAUUUUGUUGGCAGUUUUGAGAUUAGGAAUUCUAUCUUCGUCUUUCUGGCUUCGACUUCACAGGGUGGAAAUAUAUUUAAAUGUUCAACAAUAGAAAAUCAAAUAAAUUUUCUAUUUGGCAAUAAAUGAAAAAUCUCACUUGACGGCAUCUUCACAGAGAAAAAGAAACUAAGUAAAUUUGUUCACUUGUUCAUCACAAUUAUUACUCAUUAAGUGCACAAAAUAAAACAUCCAUCUGGCAUUCUUACGAUUUACUGUAGCUUCUUUUUGAACUUCAAACUUUGCAGGGAGAACGUGGUUGAGUUCCCAGGUAAGCUCCGCCAAAAAAUUAUUUUAAGUCCCACCCAUUUUUAAGUUAAUGCCCAUUUUUGACAUUCUUUGAUAUUUUUUUUUUAAAAUAGUUUAACUUUGAAAAAAAAAAAUAUUGAAGAAAAAUCGAGAGUCAUCUAACGUUCUGCUUUUUCACAGCCGCAGUUUGUUAUCUUAAAAGUGUCUCGGCUAUAUCGCUGAUGUUCGAAUAUCGAAAUCGAAUUUAGAAUAUUCAAACAGCAUUUUCACUCGAAUUUUUGACGUUUUAGAAAAAUUAACUAGAAAUGUAUGAGCUUUUCUGAGUCCCAUGACUCUUAACGUCUUGACACUCAUAAUUUCGAAAAUUAAACAAAACAUCAAUAGGGUGCAAACACAAGUAGAGUUUUAUUCUCCAAUAGUGUCUUAGGUAAAAGCUAAAUAGACCUUUAUUUGCACAAAAAUUCGUUGAUGUUCGAAAAAUUCAAUUUCGAAUUUUCAUACUAAAUUUUCGAAGGUGGUAAAAUUUUGUGAAAUAUUGCACUAAAAAGCUCGCAAAAGAGUUACUCAGUGAUUACAGAAUGAUUAAAUAAUGGGACACCGAAACAAUAAACGUCGUUGCUUCGUAUUUUUCCUCACAACAAAGUAAAGACCAACACAUUUUGACACUUAAGCACUUCAAAUUCGAACAAGAUAUCCAUCAGCCACCUUGCGGAAUUAUCAAAAAGUAUCAAAAUGAAUGUCUCUUUUUUGACUCUUCAAAUAGAUCUUCGAAUUUUACAAACUCUACUUAUAAAUGGUAAGAGUGAAUCCCAUGACUCUUGACACUCGCUAAACUUCGAAAACUGAACAUAACUUCACUUAAGACACUUUUGAAACUCACAAGGAGCCAAAAAUUCUCUUCUUUGUCUUUCGAUACCGAUCUACUGAUUAUUUCCCU